rnacentral:rRNA from 1 species
GAUGAACGCUGGCGGCGUGCCUAAGACAUGCAAGUCGAGUGGGUUUAGGCCCACGGCAAACGGGUGAGUAAUAUCUAGGAACGUGCCCUGAGUUGAGCAUAACCUACCGAAAGGUAGAGCAAUUCUCAAUGUGAUCGCAAGAUUAAAGUACGCAAGACGCUCAGGAAGCGGCCUGGACACCAUCAGCUAGUUGGUAAGGUAA